rnacentral:lncRNA from 1 species
GGAAUCUUGCAAGGACAAAGAGGAUUUGCUCACGAACUGGAGCUAACUUCCUCUUAUAGUCUAUCCUCUGUGGAUUUGUGAGUCCACACAUUUUUACCUGUACAUGAACUUGGCUAUGAAUGUGCCUUGCCAAGGAUUACACUUGUUCAUCAUCACCAUGAGAGACAUUCCAGGGAGAUGAACGUGGUGGGAUGCAGGAAAGAAACACCUUCCUGGUAGAUGAUGGCAAAAUACAAUAGUAAGCAAG